GAUGAACGCUGGCGGCGUGCCUAAUACAUGCAAGUCGAGCGAACGGACGAGAAGCUUGCUUCUCUGAUGUUAUCAGCGGACGGGUGAGUAACACGUGUAUAACCUACCUAUAAGACUGGGAUAACUUCGGGAAACCGGAGCUAAUACCGGAUAAUAUUUUGAACCGUAUGGUUCAAAAGUUAAUGACGGUCUUUCUGUCACUACUAGAUGGAUCCGCGCUGUAUUAUCUAGUAGUUAAGUUAACGGCUUACCAAGGCAACGAUGCAUAGCCGACAUGUUAGGGGGAUAGCCGACCCUGGAAGUGAACCAGCCUCCAGAAUCCUGAGGGAGGAAGCAGUAGGGAACCUUCGGCAAUGGGCGGAAGCCUGACAGAGCAACGCAGCGUGAGUGAUAAAGACCUUCAGAUCGUAAAACUCUGUUAUUAGGGGAGAACAUAUGUGUAAGUAAAUGUACACAUCUUGACGGUACCUAAUCAGAAAGCAACGGCUAACUACGUG
rnacentral:rRNA from 1 species